AUGCGGGAACGUUGCGAUAUUUCCUGCUUAAUAUUUUCAGAUAUGGGAAAAGCACUUAAGAUGACCCCACGUUUCAGGAACGUUAAAAUUAAGUUGGUGAGGAGGUCUAUGGUGGGCCCUGCAAGUUUUCUUACCUCAGUCAAGGUCUUCCCCAUCCCAGCUACAAACAGACCCACCCUUCAGACCCUCCUAUUACAUCUCAACCUGCUGAACCUGAUGAUGCGACGCCGAGCUGUUCUGAGAGUGCAUACAGUAAGGCAAAGAAGAGAGAGCUUCAUGCCUGGGAUGCAGUCAAGGAUGAGAUGCUUAAGGUGUCGUUUGAAUGUUCAGCACCGAUCACUACCCAGUGUGCUGUCUGCCGAGAACAUGCUGAUUAUAGGUGCAUUGAGUGCAGCUCCACUGCAGUGUUCUGUGAGGUUUGCCUGAAGAGGAUUCACAGAAAUUCACUGCAUCUUCCUGAAAAGUGGAACAGUGUUUACUAUGAGCCAUCCUCCCUGGGGUUAUUCCUAUAUUUACCUGAAGCCCAUGGCACCCAUGCUGUGACACAAAGGACAUGAAGAUCAUUGUCAGCACAGGUUUUGUCAUUUUACCUGAUACAAAAUCUUAAUGUAUUUAAUUUUAUUGACAGGUUAAGGAAUUCAAUCUAUUACAUGUGGAGUAAUGAUUUCCUUUAAGGAUAUAAUCAAAUUUGUGAUGCAAUAAAAAAAAAAAAGUCGAUGAUGGUUUUGUUUUAUAUAGCGGCGUUCCGUCUGCUAAAUGCAUACAUUUAAUUUAAUUUAUACUGAUAUGGUAGUCGGCUCUGCACCGUUACAGUCUAGAUGUGUGCGUGUGAACCAGAAACCUGUACUCUGCUAAGAUAUGGGCUCUGACCAGCAACAGCCACAAGCCCCAGACAGACAGCCUUCUCCAUCCCUCUGCUAGAGCUUUCUGUUUCUCUGUCACUGGAGUGUCAGGUUUCUCUUGAGGGUUUUUCGCAACACCCCAUAUCCCAUUUUAGGCAUCACCACUUCCGACAAAGAAGUUUGGUUGAUAUUUGCCCACAAUUAAAUGAUGGAACAAUAUGCCCAGCAUGUCCAAAG
rnacentral:lncRNA from 1 species